UUGCUUGGAUCCACUGUCUUCCUCCCCGUGAACUACCACAGAAGACCAUCUACCUCCACCGCCACCUGCUAUCAUUACAGGCUUAGACAUACUCCUCUACACCUUGGUAUAGUAAUAUUUGGACUUUGAGAAAAAGAUAAUUUUUUUCAUCUCUGAAUCUGUUUUUUAAAAUAUGAAGGGCAGCCAAGGCAAGGUUUUUUGAUUCUUUGGUACAAGUAGCUUAAGUUUUUAUAUGACAAAAUUUAAUUGAAAAAUCAGAUUUUUAAAAAAUUUUUUUUUAAUUUUUUUUUUUUUUUUUUAAUUAGGCUCAACGAGAACCUUUGACAAGAGCACGAAGUGAAGAAAUGGGGAGGAUCGUACCAGGACUGCCUUCAGGCUGGGCCAAGUUUCUUGACCCAAUCACUGGAACCUUUCGUUAUUACCAUUCACCCACCAACACCGUUCAUAUGUACCCACCGGAAAUGGCUCCUUCAUCUGCACCUCCUUCCACCCCUCCAACUCAUAAAGCCAAGCCACAGAUUCCUGCUGAGCGGGAUAGGGAACCUUCCAAACUG
rnacentral:sRNA from 1 species